UACGUAGGGUGCAAGCGUUGUCCGGAAUUAUUGGGCGUAAAGAGCUCGUAGGCGGUCUGUCGCGUCUGCUGUGAAAACCUAGGGCUUAACUCUGGGCGUGCAGUGGGUACGGGCAGGCUAGAGUGCGGUAGGGGAGACUGGAAUUCCUGGUGUAGCGGUGAAAUGCGUAGAUAUCUGGAGGAACACCGGUGGCGAAGGCGGCAUCCUGGACCGGGCAUUGACGCCUGAGGCGCGAAAGCCAGGGGAG
rnacentral:rRNA from 1 species